rnacentral:rRNA from 1 species
CCUACGGGAGGCAGCAGUGGGGAAUAUUGCACAAUGGGCGCAAGCCUGAUGCAGCCAUGCCGCGUGUGUGAAGAAGGCCUUCGGGUUGUAAAGCACUUUCAGCGGGGAGGAAGGCGGUGAGGUUAAUAACCUCAUCGAUUGACGUUACCCGCAGAAGAAGCACCGGCUAACUCCGUGCCAGCAGCCGCGGUAAUACGGAGGGUGCAAGCGUUAAUCGGAAUUACUGGGCGUAAAGCGCACGCAGGCGGUCUGUCAAGUCGGAUGUGAAAUCCCCGGGCUCAACCUGGGAACUGCAUUCGAAACUGGCAGGCUAGAGUCUUGUAGAGGGGGGUAGAAUUCCAGGUGUAGCGGUGAAAUGCGUAGAGAUCUGGAGGAAUACCGGUGGCGAAGGCGGCCCCCUGGACAAAGACUGACGCGCAGGUGCGAAAGCGUGGGGAGCAAACAGGAUUAGAUACCCGGGUAGUC